rnacentral:rRNA from 1 species
GACGAACGCUGGCGGCGUGCUUAACACAUGCAAGUCGAACGGAAAGGCCCUGCUUUUGUGGGGUGCUCGAGUGGCGAACGGGUGAGUAACACGUGAGUAACCUGCCCUUGACUUUGGGAUAACUUCAGGAAACUGGGGCUAAUACCGGAUAGGAGCUCCUGCUGCAUGGUGGUGGUUGGAAAGUUUCGGCGGUUGGGGAUGGACUCGCGGCUUAUCAGCUUGUUGGUGGGGUAGUGGCUUACCAAGGCUUUGACGGGUAGCCGGCCUGAGAGGGUGACCGGCCACAUGGGGACUGAGGUACGGCCCAGAAGCCUACGGGAGGCAGCAGUGGAAAAUAUUACAGAAUGGGCGGAAGCCUGAUGCAGCGACGCCGGGUGCGGGAUGACGGCCUUCGGGUUGUAAACCGCUUUCGCAUGUGACGAAGCGUGAGUGACGGUAAUGAAUAAGGAAGCACCGGCUAACUACGUG